CCCUUAGAUGUCCGAGGCCGCACGUGCGCUACAAUGAGAGAGUCAAUGGGUGAUCAGUCGUAGGCCGAGAGGCGCGCGCACACCGUAUGACAAACUCUGUCGUGAAAGGGACUGGGGGUGUGCAAUUAUCCCCCACGAACCGCGGAAUUCCCAGUAAGCGCGAGUCAUCAGCUUGCGUUGGUCGAGUCCCUGCCUUUUGUACACACCGCCCGUCGCUACUACCGAUUGGAUGCCCAGGUGAGACUCUUGGAUGGGACCUGGGUGGGGCUCUGCCCUGCCACUGUGGGCCCAGAAGGGCGUCGAACUCAGGUUAUCCAGAGGAAGUAAAAGUCGUAACA
rnacentral:rRNA from 1 species